UGGGGAAUAUUGCACAAUGGGCGGAAGCCUGAUGCAGCGACGCCGCGCGGGGGAUGAAGGCCUUCGGGUUGUAAACUCCUUUCGACAGGGACGAAGCUUUUGUGACGGUACCUGUAUAAGAAGCACCGGCUAACUACGUGCCAGCAGCCGCGGUAAUACGUAGGGUGCGAGCGUUGUCCGGAAUUACUGGGCGUAAAGAGCUCGUAGGUGGUUUGUCGCGUCGUCUGUGAAAUUCCGGGGCUUAACUCCGGGCGUGCAGGCGAUACGGGCUGACUUGAGUGCUGUAGGGGAGACUGGAAUUCCUGGUGUAGCGGUGAAAUGCGCAGAUAUCAGGAGGAACACCGAUGGCGAAGGCAGGUCUCUGGGCAGUAACUGACGCUGAGGAGCGAAAGCAUGGGUAGCGAACAGG
rnacentral:rRNA from 1 species